GAAUUAUGACGUAAAUGGUUUACAUUUUGACUGCAAAUCGAAAGAAAGGGGUUCGAUUCCUCCAUAAUUCU
rnacentral:tRNA from 1 species